AACCUUACUCUAGCAGUUUUGCUUGGAUAUGAAGGAAGAGUACAUAAAGACUUUCCUUUGAAAUAUAUUAGUAGAUGUAAAGUUGUGAAUUACACUGUUUUGAUGUAAUAGUCUUUAUUGGUUGUGAUUUGUAUACAACUAUAUCUUGCUUUAACAUAUUUUUUAUUGUUUUUAU
rnacentral:misc_RNA from 1 species